CCAUGACGGUCCCGUCCUGUUGCUACGCUACGCCAACUGGAUUACACGCGAUGAACUGCAGCUUGCGGAGACCACUUGCCGAAAGCUUCCCGACUGGGCAACGAUUUUCCAGUUUCGUUAUCGCUGUAGCUUCAUCAGGGAAAGAGAUCUACUUCUAGCCGGUAAGGGGUUUUAAAGGUAACACCACCGUCAGAGGGAGGUGAAGAGGG